UUUGUUCAUCUUCGUAACACAAAUGAAGAUCUUUUUGAUGCAAUCUGAGAGCUUUUUUUUUUUUUUUUUUUUUACGCUUCAAAAAGUUCAUAAAGAGAUCAUAAAACGAAUCCAUAUGAAUUUAACGGUUUAGUACAAAUUUUCUGAAAAGAUAUGAUUGCUUUAUACAGUAUGAUGAACAGAUUGAAUUUAGGCUUUUAUUCACAUAAAAACAUUCAUCAAUUCACACAUCAGUUAUGGUAAACAGAAGCUCAUGUGUGAGAACCAUUGAGGUUCGUUCUCGUGUUACGCAGCACGUUUGAGCUUCAGCAAGAACCAAUGAGGUUCGUUCUCGUGUUACGCAGCACGUUUGAGCUUCAGCAAGAACCAAUGAGGUUCGUUCUCGUGUUACGCAGCACGUUUGAGCUUCAGCAAGAACCAAUGAGGUUCGUUCUCGUGUUACGCAGCACGUUUGAGCUUCAGCAAGAACCAAUGAGGUUCGUUCUCGUGUUACGCAGCACGUUUGAGCUUCAGCAAGAACCAAUGAGGUUCGUUCUCGUGUUACGCAGCACGUUUGAGCUUCAGCAAGAACCAAUGAGGUUCGUUCUCGUGUUACGCAGCACGUUUGAGCUUCAGCAAGAACCAAUGAGGUUCAUUCUCGUGUUACGCAGCACGUUUGAGCUUCCGCAAGAACCAAUGAGGUUCAUUCUCGUGUUACGCAGCACGUUUGAGCUUCAGCAAGAACUAAUGAGGUUCAUUCUCGUGUUACGCAGCACGU